AUUUAUGGAGAGUUUGAUCCUGGCUCAGGACGAACGCUGGCGGCGUGCCUAAUACAUGCAAGUCGAGCGAACCGACGGGAGCUUGCUCCCUUAGGUUAGCGGCGGACGGGUGAGUAA
rnacentral:rRNA from 1 species